UACGGAGGGUGCAAGCGUUGUCCGGAUUUAUUGGGUUUAAAGGGUGCGUAGGCGGCCCGUUAAGUCAGCGGUGAAAUCCCGGGGCUCAACCCCGGAACGGCCGUUGAUACUGGCGGGCUUGAGUUCGGUCGAGGCGGGCGGAACUGGCGGUGUAGCGGUGAAAUGCAUAGAUACCGCCAAGAACCCCGAUUGCGUAGGCAGCUCGCUGGGCCGAAACUGACGCUGAGGCACGAAAGCGUGGGGAGCGAACAGG
rnacentral:rRNA from 1 species